rnacentral:rRNA from 1 species
GAUGAACGCUGGCGGCGUGCCUAAUACAUGCAAGUCGAGCGAACGGACGAGAAGCUUGCUUCUCUGAUGUUAGCGGCGGACGGGUGAGUAACACGUGGAUAACCUACCUAUAAGACUGGGAUAACUUCGGGAAACCGGAGCUAAUACCGGAUGAUAUUUUGAACCGCAUGGUUCAAAAGUGAAAGACGGUCUUGCUGUCACUUAUAGAUGGAUCCGCGCUGCAUUAGCUAGUUGGUAAGGUAACGGCUUACCAAGGCAACGAUGCAUAGCCGACCUGAGAGGGUGAUCGGCCACACUGGAACUGAGACACGGUCCAAACUCCUACGGGAGGCAGCAGUAGGGAAUCUUCCGCAAUGGGCGAAAGCCUGACGGAGCAACGCCGCGUGAGUGAUGAAGGUCUUCGGAUCGUAAAACUCUGUUAUUAGGGAAGAACAUAUGUGUAAGUAACUGUGCACAUCUUGACGGUACCUAAUCAGAAAGCCACGGCUAACUACGUG